AUGGGUGCAGGUGCACAGACAAAACACCACGUGUGGACACAGAGAGAAGGCGGCCACCUGCAGGCCAAAAAGAGAAGCCUCCGCAGAAACAAGCCUCCGUGUGCUUUGAUCUCCGACUCGCAGCCUCAGACCUGGGAGAAAACGACCAUCUGUUGUCGAAGCCCCAGGCUGUGCUAUUUUGUUCUGGCAACCGGAGGAAAUUCCUACAGAUAUGUUCACAGACGGCCCUGGCACUCCCAGGCCCAUGCCCAGGGUGAAACCUCCAGGAAACCCAAGCCCAGCGCGACCUCCCAGUCACAGGUGAAGGGCUGCCUGGCUGGCUGCUGCCCACACAGGCUCACAGCUCACAGGGAGCCCGGUCUGAAGCCCCAUCCGCUCAGAGGCGCCUUCUCCAGAAAGCCCGAGGGAAGAUGCCACCACCGCAGCUCUUCACACCGCUGUCCCUCUCUGAGCUCCAGCCUCACCCCAUCCAGGACAGAGUUACACUCAGGCCGGAGUGCAGGGCCCAGGACCAAGGCUCCCUGCAGCGUUGACCUCCCGGGCUCCAGGAUCUGUCUUCCCACCUCAGCUUCCUGAUGAGCUGAAACUACAGGAAAACAAGCACCAGCCGACCGGCCCCCACACUUCAGCAGCCGGGACCUGAGGCCCUCCUCUGAACACCUGGAGUGUCGGGAGCAACCACACGGCAGCUGCUCCUCGGGAGCCUGGGCCCAGCUUUGGACGCCGCUGCUUCUCCCCCGUGCUCCGGAGGUACCACAGGGUAGGGCCAGGCAGCCCUCCAAGGCCCGGGAGACGCCUCUCCAGGGUCUCUGCUGAGCUCGGAACGCCGUGGUCACUGUGAGCUCCCGGAUGUUUGAGCUCCAGGGAUCCCUAGUGUUCUGGUUUUGGCCACUCACUUCUCCAAUAUCUGGUUAGCAAUUUUAUUUAAUUUUUGUGUUUUUUUAGACAUGGGGUCUCGCUGUCACCCAGGCUGGAGUGCAGUCAGUGGUGCAGCCCUGCCUGACUGUAGCCUUGAACUCCUGGGCUCAAGCCGUCCUCCCUCCUUAGCCUCCCAAGUAGCUCGGACUACAGUAGCUAGGACCAGGCUGGUCUUGCACUCCUGGCCUCAAGUAAUCCCCCUGCCUCAGCCUCUCAAAGGGCUGGCAUUACAGGCGUGAGCCACCAUGCCUGGCCAGCAAUUCUUCUUCCUUUUUUUUUUUUUUUGAGAUGGAGUCUCGCUCUGUUGCCCAGGCUGGAGUGCAGUGGCACGAUCUGGUCUCACUGCAAGCUCCGCCUCCCGGGUUCACGCCAUUCUCCUGUCUCAGCCUCCUGAGUAGCUGGGACUACAGGUGCUGCCACCAUGCCCGGCUAAUUUUUUUGUAUUUUUAGCAGACUCAGGGUUUCACUGUGUUAGCCAGGAUGGUCUCAAUCUCCUGACCCCGUGAUCCUCCUGCCUCAGCCUCCCAGUGUGCUGGGAUUACAGGCGUAAGCCACCGCACCUGGCCAGCAAUUCUUUACAUUAAACUUUCUGUUAAAAUAACUGAUGUGAUUUUGUUCCUAAAUGGACCCUGACUGAUACAGAAGUUUCAAAAUAAUGACUCAGUUUCUCUCCUUAUUUCUCUUCCAGUCUUCAUCCUCCAAGAGAGAGUUUUAAACUGUUAAAGAACUUGAGGUACUAAAAUGAAUCACAGCUGCCACAGCAAACUUGACAUGUGAACAGUGUCAAGUUUUUAAAUGCUUCCAUUUAUAUUACCUCACUUGAUGCUCUCUUCUUGCAUUCAUUCAAUCAUGUUUUAUUGAGCAACUGCUAUUUAUAAGGCACAGGGUCUGGUACUGUUAAUACACUGUGAACCCCAACAUUUGAGACAGGUGUCAGUUUAUCUAGAAAGUUUAUUUUGCCAAGGUGGUGGAUGCGCCCAUGACACAGCCUCAGGAGGUCCUGACGACACGUGCCCAAGGUGGUCGGGGCACAGCUUGGUUUUAUAUAUUUUGGGGAGACAUGAGACAUCAAUCAAUACAUGUAAGAAAUACACUGGUUCCGUCCAGAAAGGCGGGGACAACUCGAAGCAGGGAGGGGCUUCCAGGUCACAGGUAGGUGGGAGACAAGUGCUUGCAUUCUCCGAGUUUCUGACGAGCCUCUCCAAAGGAGGCCAUCAGAAGACGCAUCUGUCUCAGGGAGCAGAGGGUGACUUUGAAUAGAAUGGGAAGCAGGUUUGCCCUGAGCCAUUCCCAGCCUGAGUUUUCCCUUUAUCCUAGUGAUUUUGGGGGCCCAAGAUAUUUUCCUUUCAUAACACACAAAAAACAAGAUAUUCCCCCCAUGAGGAUAACUGCUAAACUGCAGGGGUUUAUUUUUAUUACUUAAAGGAGGUUUUAUAAAGCCUCUAAUUGAACACAGAAAAAGGCAAAGAACUGUCCAAGAAGAGUUAUAUGGACUGAGUUUCUGCCAUUUAGAAAGUUUCCACUUAAGGUAUCCACAUUUGUUAGCCAGAGUCAUCAAUUAAAUAAUUUAGAAAGAAUAGAAAAGGAACAGGAACCUAGAACUUAGCACGCAUCCGAUAAAAGACCGCUAUUGCCAAGAAUUAAGAAAUAUAGCAUUAAACAGCAGAAACACACAAAAAAUAAAAUAAAGAAAAUAAAAAAUAGAGUAAAUUUAGUCCAAGGAUGUUAUAAACAAUCCACAAUGACAAUAAUAGCAAGGCACUGCUUCUUCAUGGAGCUUUAGAUUGACACAUUGUGAUCUUUUCAAAAUCCCUCAGAGUGCACGUGUCAUGAUUUUUUUCUUUUUUUCUUUUUUCUUUUUCUUUUUGGUACAGGAAUGUUCAUAGUGGCUUUUCUUACAAUGGCCAAAACCUAUAAACCACCCAGUGACCAUCAACAGGUGAAUGGAAGCAGACACUCACAAAGGUUGAGUGACUUAGCAAUGUGACACAGGCAAGAAGUGGCACAGCAGGCACCAGACUCUGGGGUUCAGUGCUGGCUGCCAAUCCUGCAGCGGUUCA
ensembl:lncRNA